UACGAAGGGGGCUAGCGUUGCUCGGAAUCACUGGGCGUAAAGGGUGCGUAGGCGGAUCGCUAAGUCAGGGGUGAAAUCCCAGGGCUCAACCCUGGAACUGCCUUUGAUACUGACGGUCUGGAGAUCGGGAGAGGUUGGUGGAUCCGAGUGUAGAGGUGAAAUUCGGUAGAUAUUCGGAGGAACACCAGAAGCCGAAGGCGGCCAACUG
rnacentral:rRNA from 1 species